rnacentral:tRNA from 1 species
GGGGGUAUAACUCAGUGGUAGAGUGUGUGCUUAGCAUGCACGAGGUCCUGGGUUCAAACCCCAGUACCUCCA